CCUACGGGAGGCAGCAGUGAGGAAUAUUGGUCAAUGGACGGAAGUCUGAACCAGCCAUGCCGCGUGCAGGAAGACGGCCCUAUGAGUUGUAAACUGCUUUUGUACAAGGGUAAACCUGAAUACGUGUAUUCAGCUGAAAGUACUGUAAGAAUAAGGAACGGCUAACUCCGUGCCAGAAGCCGCGGUAAAUAGGAGGAUCCAAGCGUUAUCCGGAUUUAUUGGGGUUAAAGGGGGGGUAGGCGGAUUGAUAAGUUAGAGGUGAAAUGUCCGAGCUUAACUCGGGAACUGCCUCUAAUACUGUUGUUCUAGAGAGUAGGUGCGGUAGGCGGAAUGUAUGGUGUAGCGGUGAAAUGCUUAGAGAUCAUACAGAACACCGAUUGCGAAGGCAGCUUACCAAUCUAUAUCUGACGUUGAGGCACGAAAGCGUGGGGAGCAAACAGGAUUAGAUACCCGGGUAGUC
rnacentral:rRNA from 1 species